rnacentral:rRNA from 1 species
CAAUGGCGUAAACAGAGGGGAGCGAACCCGCGAGGGGGAGCGGAUCCCAAAAAUAACGUCCCAGUUCGGAUUGUAGUCUGCAACCCGACUACAUGAAGCCGGAAUCGCUAGUAAUCGCAGAUCAGCAUGCUGCGGUGAAUACGUUCCCGGGUCUUGUACACACCGCCCGUCACACCAUGGGAGCCGGGAAUGCCCGAAGUCGGUGACCCAACCGUAAGGAGGGAGCCGCCGAAGGCAGGCCUGGUAACUGGGGUGAAGUCGUAACAAGGUAUC